rnacentral:rRNA from 1 species
UUAGAGUUUGAUCCUGGCUCACGACGAACGCUGGCGGCGCGCCUAACACAUGCAAGUCGAACGAGCGAGAGAGAGCUUGCUUUCUCGAGCGCGUGGCGAACGUGUGAGUAACGCGUGAGGAACCUGCCUCAAAGAGGGGGACAACAGUUGGAAACGACUGCUAAUACCGCAUAAGCCCACAGCUCGGCAUCGAGCAGAGGGAAAAGGAGCAAUCCGCUUUGAGAUGGCCUCGCGUCCGAUUAGCUAGUUGGUGAGGUAAUGGCCCACCAAGGCGACGAUCGGUAGCCGGACUGAGAGGUUGAACGGCCACAUUAGGACUGAGACACGGCCCAGACUCCUACGGGAGGCAGCAGUGGGGAAUAUUGCACAAUGGGGGAAACCCUGAUGCAGCGACGCCGCGUGGAGGAAGAAGGUCUUCGGAUUGUAAACUCCUGUUGUUGAGGAAGAUAAUGACGGUACUCAACAAGGAAGUGACGGCUAACUACGUGCCAGCAGCCGCGGUAAAACGUAGGUCACAAGCGUUGUCCGGAAUUACUGGGUGUAAAGGGAGCGCAGGCGGGAAGACAAGUUGGAAGUGAAAUCUAUGGGCUCAACCCAUAAACUGCUUUCAAAACUGUUUUUCUUGAGUAGUGCAGAGGUAGGCGGAAUUCCCGGUGUAGCGGUGGAAUGCGUAGAUAUCGGGAGGAACACCAGUGGCGAAGGCGGCCUACUGGGCACCAACUGACGCUGAGGGCUCGAAAGUGUGGGUAGCAAACAGGAUUAGAUACCCUGGUAGUCCACACCGUAAACGAUGAUUACUAGGUGUUGGAGGAUUGACCCCUUCAGUGCCGCAGUUAACACAAUAAGUAAUCCACCUGGGGAGUACGACCGCAAGGUUGAAACUCAAAGGAAUUGACGGGGGCCCGCACAAGCAGUGGAGUAUGUGGUUUAAUUCGACGCAACGCGAAGAACCUUACCAAGUCUUGACAUCCCUUGACGAACAUAGAAAUAUGUCUUCUCUUCGGAGCAAGGAGACAGGUGGUGCAUGGUUGUCGUCAGCUCGUGUCGUGAGAUGUUGGGUUAAGUCCCGCAACGAGCGCAACCCUUACUGUCAGUUACUACGCAAGAGGACUCUGGCAGGACUGCCGUUGACAAAACGGAGGAAGGUGGGGAUGACGUCAAAUCAUCAUGCCCUUUAUGACUUGGGCUACACACGUACUACAAUGGCGUUAAACAAAGAGAAGCAAGACCGCGAGGUGGAGCAAAACUCAGAAACAACGUCCCAGUUCGGACUGCAGGCUGCAACUCGCCUGCACGAAGUCGGAAUUGCUAGUAAUCGUGGAUCAGCAUGCCACGGUGAAUACGUUCCCGGGCCCCUUGUACACACCGCCCGU